GGGCGGUUAGCUCAGCUGGUAGAGCGUCUCGUUUACACCGAGAAGGCCGUUGGUUCGAGUCCAUCACCGCCCA
rnacentral:tRNA from 1 species